rnacentral:misc_RNA from 1 species
GAUGAAGAACGUAGCGAAAUGCGAUACGUAAUGUGAAUUGCAGAAUUCAGUGAAUCAUCGAAUCUUUGAACGCAUAUUGCGCUCUCUGGUAUUCCGGAGAGCAUGCUUGUUUGAGUAUCAGUAAACACCUCAACUUCCAUAUCUUUUUUGAAAUGGGAGUUGGACUUGAGUGAUCCCAACGCUUUUCCUCACCGAAAAGUGGCGGGUUACUUGAAAUGCAGGUGCAGCUGGACUUUUCUCUGAGCUAUAAGCAUAUCUAUUUAGUCUGCCUCAAAACAGAUUAUUACCUUUGCUGCAGCUAACAUAAAGGAGAUUAGUUCUUGUGCUGACUGAUGCAGGAUUCACAAAGACCGCUUCGGCUGUCUUUGUAAACUCGAUCUCAAAUCAAGUAAGACUACCCGCUGAACUUAAGCAUAUCAAUAAGCGGAGGA